rnacentral:rRNA from 1 species
CCUACGGGUGACAGCAGUGGGGGAUAUUGCACAAUGGGGGAAACCCUGAUGCAGCGACGCCGCGUGAGCGAAGAAGUAUUUCGGUAUGUAAAGCUCUAUCAGCAGGGAAGAAAAUGACAGUACCUGACCAAGAAGCCCCGGCUAACUACGUGCCAGCAGCCGCGGUAAUACGUAGGGGGCAAGCGUUAUCCGGAUUUACUGGGUGUAAAGGGAGCGUAGACGGUUAUGUAAGUCUGGAGUGAAAGCCCGGGGCCCAACCCCGGGACUGCUUUGGAAACUGUGUAACUGGAGUGCAGGAGGGGCAGGCGGAAUUCCUGGUGUAGCGGUGAAAUGCGUAGAUAUCAGGAGGAACACCGGCGGCGAAGGCGGCCUGCUGGACUGAAACUGACGUUGAGGCUCGAAAGCGUGGGGAGCAAACAGGAUUAGAUACCCUUGUAGUC